rnacentral:misc_RNA from 1 species
AUUUAACAACAGCACAAUCCACUGUCACGAGGACAAUACCAGUCCUUUAAAAACAAACUAAAGAAAUUACACUAUAGCAAGUACCGAGAUGAACAAGGAGCCGAAGUGUAGAGUACCCGAAGGUGGAGAGUUGAAGGCUGCCAGCUGGUCCCUUCUCUGUGGCUGUGUGGAAAACUACUGUGAUACUUGCUGAGACGCUGUGAGGCUGCCAAAAGUAAGACGUGUUGAGUGAGCCAGCAAGGAAGCAUCUCAGCUCAGCCUGUUUGUCCAUUGAAGCACUUCUGCCACCAGUCUUGCAGGGCAGCUCUAGUGAUGGCAGCUCGGCUGCUGUACUCUGGCGACCGUGUAGUAACAGUUUCAGCGAGGAGUCUGCGUUCGCUGUGUGCCGGCCGCAGGUUAUUCUCCAGCCAGGGCAGCAACAACUCCAACGAAGCCACCCCCUCGCCUGAUGUCAAGGAGGUAGCCACAGGUACUUGCACUUCAGAGCAAUUGGACACAUGGUUGGACAUCCGAGCAGGUAUUUUUGGCCCCAGUGACCAGCGACUGCCCCUGCCCGGCAAUGUGGGGCUGAGUCAACACCUCGGCACCCCCACCCGUGCCCCACCCCCACCACAGCUCACCUCUGUCCUGCCCCGAGCCCCCAUACCCGACAUUCUCACCUACAAGACCAACCACGAAAACCAACUGCAGGCGCUGGGUCAGUGCAGCCCUGAGGAACUGCCAGACUUUGAGGAGUCCACCAAAGCAGCCCCUGCCAUGCCUCCUCACCCUGCCGACGUGCUGGAGUGUAAGGUGCAGAAGUGCCCUGACCUCAUCAAGAAAGACUUCCUGGACCUGUUUCCGGGCCGCAACCUGAGGGAUGGUCCACUAUCUGUGGUGACGCUGAGCCAGAGGACCAAGCACGACAUGAGCUGCUGGUCCGAGGACAUGGAGAAUGAGAGGGAGGAGCUGCAGCUUUAUUUUAUCCUUGCUGCGGAGGAUAUCUGUGCCAUCCUACAGCGUGAGGGUUACUGGGCGGACUUCAUUGAUCCAGCAUCUGGCCGCCCUUUCCUAGGCCAGUUCACUAACUCCACACUCUUCGAGACGGACGAACGUUACCGCCACCUGGGCUUCCGAAUAGACGACCUGGGAUGCUGCAAGGUCAUCUCUCACCGUAACUGGGGCACACACGUGUUUGUGGAGUCUCAUCAUGCUGCUGAGGGAGGCACACCAUGGCUGGCAGAUCAGUGCUGGGAGUAGUCCAUGGCCAGGAAGAAAGACCCAAGUGCUUUUGAGAGGAGGAGAGACAGAAGAGGAGAUCAAUGAAAGGUAACAGAGCACAGCUGGGCUUGAAGGACUUCCUCAAUAGGUCCACAGGGUGAAUGUGAAGGGAACGGCAGGAAACACGAGAGCGUGGCAAAAAUCUCCUGUUCCUUCUUCCUAUGAUGUGUGGAGGUGUGCGAGGGACCAUUUCCUUUUCCUUCCUUUGAUGUGUGGAGGCGUGCGAGGGACCAGCAGCAGCAGGACGGAGUGGCAGGGUCUGUAAGUCAUAAACAGACCAACUCAGAGGAUUCGCCAAUAUUUCAUAAUCAGUUAUUAUUGCAGUAUAUAGGGUAAAUGAUAAAAACAGCCUUCCCCUGUCUUCCCUCCUUGCAGUUGUUUCCUCCCUUCCCUCCUUAGGUUAGUGCCGAGGACCAUGAGCAGGAGGACAGGCUGACCAGGACUUGGAGGAGACUAGUAGCACCUGUAGAAAUCACAGGAUGCAAUAAUUAAAAUAAAAUACUACGAUAAAA